rnacentral:pre_miRNA from 1 species
UUUGAGGGGAAUGUUGUCUGGCACGAGGCCCUUAACUUAGAUCUAUAUUUGAUUAUAUAUAUAUAUAUGUCUCAUCUUUAUUCAUUAGUCUAUACAUGAAUGAUCAUUUUACGGUUAAUGACGUCGGACCAGGCUUCAUUCCCCUCAAU